AAGCGAUCCUGUGAUCUCUGCCUUCCAAGUAGCUGGGGCUACAGGUGAGCACCACCAUGCCUGGCUUGUUUAUGUAUUCCUUUCAUGGCAAUGGAUAAUUAAAAAAAAAUUCGUUUGUAGAGACAAGAUAUCUUUAUGUUGCCCAGACUUGUCUCGAAUUUCUGGCCUCAAGCGAUCCUUUUGCCUUGGUUUUCUGAAGUGCUGGGAUGACAACGGAACAACUUUUAAAUGUCUCCCCCUUGGGUACCUACUCACUCUUCAGACCCAUAGGCAUCAUAUGAACUUUCUGGCCACACAUGUAUAAUUAAAAUGAACAUUUUCUGUAAUUUUAGCAGAUAGAAAAAGGAAGAGAAUGAAAGAAGGAAAAAGUUAAUAUAUGGCCCCUUAUGUGGCUUUUUCAGAUUAAACUGUUUGCAAAGUUCUGAAUAAGUCAAUGGGCAAAAUGGGGCUUAGAGUACUUAAGUCAUGUAGUUUAACUCAGAUGAAAGAUGGAUGUAAAUGUGGAGAAAGAGUACAGCUGUGUUAAAUUGAGAGCUAUGUGUUAGGCCAAAUUAUCCAGUAAUUCCUUGACUUCAUGAAAGAUACGUUCAGGGUCUUAUUGCUCUCUGGGACCAAAAGUGGGUUGCUUGCCUUCUAAUGUCUUAAUUCCUUAUUUGGCCCCUUAUAAUGUUGGGACAAUGAUUAAGUGCCUGGACUUUGGAAUUAAGCCUGGAUUGAAACGUGGACUCCAUUACUCACUAACUUUGAGGCUUUCAUUCUCUCUGAGCUUUGGUCUUCUCAUUUAUAAUACAAGAAUAGUAAAACCUUUGUAGAGUUAGAGUGAAAUAAACUGAAUUUAUGUAUGUUCUAAUUGUGCUUAGCACAUACAUUCAAUAAAUGGCAGUGGCUAGAAAAUAUCUUCCACUGUGUAUGUAAUAUGGUCAACAUGUAUCCCUAUUCCCUUCUUUUCUGAACGGGGAGAGUAGUGCAAUAAGUAACAUCCAGUAGUAAGGGGACUUUGUUUCCCUGGAAGUGUGCAAAAACUACUUGCCAUUUUGGAUUGCUCUUCCAGUUCCAGCUUUAUAGAUGUAAGCUACCAUGUCUUCUCUAGUAAUGGAAUUUGAACACUGUCAUUUCAAUAUUUGUUUCUCUGAAGAGAAAUUCCCUUUUUUUUUUGAGAUUUAUCUAAAUGAAGGAACUCAAACUUACCAGCAAUAAAAUCUCUCUAACUGCAACUUAACUGUUUUUGUUUUUCAGCUAUGUAUUUUUUCAUUUUUAAUUUAUUUUCAUUUUAUAAACAUUGAGGUCAUGAGAAUACUGGAGUUAUUAAAUAAGAGAUGGCAAUUAUUCAUUUAUUUAUUUGCUCAGAAAGUAGAAAGUUUCAUGAAACUUUAAAGCCUGGGAAUUUCUAAAGAUAACUCCAUCUCCAUAUGUUUUUUGGAGGAAAUGAUUUUUGUCUUUUCCAAACAAUGACACUUAACACAAUAGAAAGUUGGCACAUUUUUGGUAAACAGAAUUUUCCUGGUAGUGUGAAGUCUACUGUGUAUUUCUUUUGUGCCAGACUUCUCAGUAUCAUUUUGAUCUGUAAAACACCAACAUUUCCUGUAUCAUAUUAUAUUUAUAUCUUUGGAGAGUCUAGACAGAAAGAAAUUUUUAUUUUAAACAGUAAUGAAUAAUAAAAAACCACAAAAUCUUUAUUGUAAUAUUUGGGACUAUGAUUGGCUGCAGGGAAAAAAAGCACAAAGCAGAUGACACAUAGAAGACAUAUAACAUAAAUGUUUGACUUUGAUAUCCCCAGAAGGUAUAUCUCAGACAUUAAAAAAAGACAGGAGGCUAAAAAUUGUAGCACACAAACAAAAAUCAUUUCUCUAAUUUUUGAAUUAUGUGUCCAAAGAAAAAAAUUAAAACUUCAACCACCCAUUGGUGUGAGAAUUGUUAAAAAAAAAAAAAAAAUCUAGCUUUCCACAGAUCCAUUUGGCUCUCCUGUAAAGACUGAAAUCUGAGAAUGUUAACAACAGGUUAUCUCUGAGGACAAUUAUUGCACCUGAGAAGGAAAGAAGAAGAUAUGCUUUAUUCCAUUGCAGACACUGAAUGGAGAACUCUGAGCAUCAUAGGUAAACCAACUCUGUAUCACUUUGAAAUACAUAUUUGAGGCUGCUGCAUGCAGCUCCCCCAAUAGCCGCAGUCAUUGGUGCCAAUGCUCAGGCGCCCGCUGCCCUUGACCUCCGGCCCCCAAGCCCUAACCCAGCACAGGAGGACCAGCCACCGCCGCCAGGCUCUGAUGCUGGUCUCUGGUAGAAGAAGGUUGCUCACAGCUCUGCUGCAGGCUCAGAAGUGGCCCUUUCAACCCUCCAGAGACAUGAGACUAGUGCAGUUCCAGGCACCCCACCUGGUGGGGCCUCACUUUGACCUGGAGACGGGGAAUGGUGGAGGGGUUAUCAACCGCAAUGCCUUUGACUCUAUGCUCCCCAAGAUGAUGACACAGUUCCUAGAGCAGGGAGAGGCCACCCUCUCAGUGGCAAGAAGAGCCUUGGGUACCCAGUUGCCAGUCCUAUCACGGUUGGAAGUAACCUUCCUGGCUCCAGCCACGUGGCCAGAUAAGGUGCUUUGUGUGGGCAUGAAUUAUGUGGACCACUGCAAAGAACAGAACAUGCCUGUGCCCAUGGAACCCAUUAUCUUCAGCAAGUUUGCCAACUCCAUCGUGGAGCCCUAUGAUGAGAUGGUCCUCCCACCGGAGAGCCAGGACGUAGACUGGGAAGUGGAGUGGCCGUGGUCACUGGAAAGAAAGGCAAGCAUAUCAAGGCCACAGAUGCCAUGGCCCAUGUGGCUGGCUUCACUAUGGCUAAUGACGUGAGUGCUCAUGACUGGCAAAUGAGACAUAAGGGGAAACAGUGGCUGCUGGGAAAAACCUUCGACACCUUCUGCCCUCUGGGCCCUGCCUUGGUGACCAAGGCCAGUGUAGCAGAUCCACACAACUUAAAGAUCUGCUGCCAAGUGAAUGGGGAAGUGGUCCAGAGCAGCAACACCAACUAGAUGGUGGUUAAGACAGGGGAGCUGAUAGCCUGGGUCUCCCAGUUUGUCACCUUUUACCCAGGGGAUGUCAUCCUGACUGGGACCUCCCCAGGUGUCACUGUAUUCAGGAAACCUCCUGUCCUUCUCAAGAAGGGCGAUAAAGUCCAGUGUGAGACUGACGAACUAGGUGUCGUCAUCAGCUAGGUGAUGUGA